rnacentral:rRNA from 1 species
GACGAACGCUGGCGGCGUGCCUAAUACAUGCAAGUCGAACGCUUCUUUCCUCCUGAGUGCUUGCACUCAAUUGGAAAGAGGAGUGGCGGACGGGUGAGUAACACGUGGGUAACCUACCCAUCAGAGGGGGAUGACACUUGGAAACAGGUGCUAAUACCGCAUAACAGUUUAUGCCGCAUGGCAUAAGAGUGAAAGGCGCUUUCGGGUGUCGCUGAUGGAUGGACCCGCGGUGCAUUAGCUAGUUGGUGAGGUAACGGCUCACCAAGGCCACGAUGCAUAGCCGACCUGAGAGGGUGAUCGGCCACACUGGGACUGAGACACGGCCCAGACUCCUACGGGAGGCAGCAGUAGGGAAUCUUCGGCAAUGGACGAAAGUCUGACCGAGCAACGCCGCGUGAGUGAAGAAGGUUUUCGGAUCGUAAAACUCUGUUGUUAGAGAAGAACAAGGACGUUAGUAACUGAACGUCCCCUGACGGUAUCUAACCAGAAAGCCACGGCUAACUACGU